rnacentral:misc_RNA from 1 species
GAAUGAAGAACGUAGCGAAAUGCGAUACGUAAUGUGAAUUGCAGAAUUCAGUGAAUCAUCGAGUCUUUGAACGCACAUUGCGCCCCCUGGUAUUCCGGGGGGCAUGCCUGUCCGAGCGUCAUUGCUGCCCUCAAGCACGGCUUGUGUGUUGGGCCUCCGUCCUCCUCCCGGGGGACGGGCCCGAAAGGCAGCGGCGGCACCGCGUCCGGUCCUCGAGCGUAUGGGGCUUCGUCACCCGCUCUUGUAGGCCCGGCCGGCGCUUGCCGACACAUCAAUCUUUUUUCCAGGUUGACCUCGGAUCAGGUAGGGAUACCCGCUGAACUUAAGCAUAUCAAUAAGCGGAGGA